CUGAACAGAUUUUUGUGAAAUUUUGUGUAUGCGAUAAGGUCUAUCCGAGACAGGUUUUGUGUUAUAAUUGGACCCGGUAGGUGGCGCUGUUGUCAAGUUUAAUUCAAAAUCCGUAUUUGGGGUCGAAUGACUGGAUAUUUUUUGUGAAAUUUUGUGUGUGUGAUAAGGUUUGCCCCAGACAGGUUUUGUGUUAUAAUUGGACCCUGUAGGUUGCGCUGUAGUCAAUUUAUUUGUGCUCCACAUAUCAACCGAACCGAGUGAACCGGAAAAAGUUUAACACAUUACAGGGCUAAAAUUUGAAAACAAAUACUUGGAAAGGCGGAACGAAGUCCGCCGGGUCAGCUAGUAAUUUAUAUAUAUAUAUAUCCAUUAAAAUGGACUGGCUUUUACAUUUCCAUUUAAACAUUCAGAUUCAUGGCGUGCAUAUCCAUACCAUUACGCGUGGUUGCCUUUUAGUGAAGAAACCAAACAACUUGUCCUUCCUUCGUUAUCCGAUAUGAAUUUUGUAGAGGAACUGUGCAAUGUAUUAGUUUAAGCAAGACAAAGGAUUCGAUAGAAAAUUGUAUUAACGUCA